rnacentral:rRNA from 1 species
GAUGAACGCUGGCGGCGUGCCUAAUACAUGCAAGUCGAGCGAACGGACGAGAAGCUUGCUUCUCUGAUGUUAGCGGCGGACGGGUGAGUAACACGUGGAUAACCUACCUAUAAGACUGGGAUAACUUCGGGAAACCGGAGCUAAUACCGGAUGAUAUUUUGAACCGCAUGGUUCAAAAGUGAAAGACGGUCUUGCUGUCACUUAUAGAUGGAUCCUCGCUGCAUUAGCUAGUUGGUAAGGUAACGGCUUACCAAGGCAACGAUGCAUAGCCGACCUGAGAGGGUGAUCGGCCACACUGGAACUGAGACACGGUCCAGACUCCUACGGGAGGCAGCAGUAGGGAAUCUUCCGCAAAGGGCGAAAGCCUGACGGAGCAACGCCGCGUGAGUGAUGAAGGUCUUCGGAUCGUAAAACUCUGUUAUUAGGGAAGAACAUAUGUGUAAGUAACUGUGCACAUCUUGACGGUACCUAAUCAGAAAGCCACGGCUAACUACGUG